GUGAUGUCUGGUAUUUCUAGGUAAUCCAUGAGUGAUGUCUGGUAUUUCUAGGUAAUCCAUGAGUGAUGUCUGGUAUUUCUAGGUAAUCCAUGAGUGAUGUCUGGUAUUUCUAGGUAAUCCAUGAGUGAUGUCUGGUAUUUCUAGGUAAUCCAUGAGUGAU